ACUAGUGCACUUACAAACCCGAAAUUUCCAACCAUACAGGGUAACGCCCACUGCUGUGACGUUUCAUCGCCACUCUAAAUGCUAUAUUGUAUUCUAACAUAUCAACGUAAGCUGAAUUCAUAGUGAUCACCCGACCAUGACCGACGCAUAACCGCCGCGAGUGAAAAAUAGUGCUCUGAAUUUCUGAAAACUUCCAUUUAUUGCGAACAGAAGUGGAGACAAGAAAUUUAUUUUUUGAAAAUAAUGUGCAAUUGAGCUUGAAUUACGGUAUUAGAAACGUAGCGGAUAUAAUUUGAAAGGUCACAUAAUUCUAUGAAUGGGAUAGUAAAUUAAUUGGGUCAUAGUGCUUGACGGCUUGCAAUAUUUAACUUACUCAUCCGCCUUAUCAUCACAUUUUUUUGUAUUAUAUUCCAGAAUUUUUGAAAAAGACAUUAUUUAUCGGAUAAAUUUUGUAGUUUAUAAUUGCAAAGUGGAUAUUGAAAUAGAAUUAGCCAGAGAUGUAGAUAAUCUAUUCGUCUCUGAAUUAGCCGAUAAUUAGGUUAAAUGAAUCCGACAACUUCCGGUAUAUUUUUCGACCUACUUCACGAGCAUAAUUAUCAGCCUGUUAAGCUCAUAAGGUAUGUUAUAAAGCAAAAUAUGUUAUGAAUUUGAUGACUAAUAAUAUUAUGUUUAUUUAUUGAUGCCCAUUUGUUUCCGAGGACUAAAACUUUCGUAAAUAAUUUCGAAGUAAUUUGGAGAUCUCGAGUCUUUCGUACCCAAGACAUUUCGAUCAUACUUAGACUGCAAAACCGACAGAUUUUACAAAUUGAUAUUACACAGAUGUCUGCCUUUACAGGAAAACCGGCAUAUACGCCUACAAUUUUUUGGUCUUGUCACGGCCGUUACGUCUCUACCAAAUGGGGCACAUUCUUGAAUAUUUCAGAAUAAUUUUAUUUUGACCUUUAUAAAUUAUUAUAUCCCGAAACAACCAAUUUUCAAUCACAACCUAAAUUCAAACACAUUCUUAAUUCUGUGGCACGGAUGUCAUGCCUGACUAAAUUGCAUAAAGUCACAUGUUGUAUUAACUUCAAAACUUGCAGAAAUGCCACACUUGAUUAAUUGUCAGAUGUUUUCAGAAAAACAAUAAGAAACUGUUUGUUUUAAGUGACACAAUAUAAAUUGUCCAACUUUCACUAUAUCAAUAUAGUCACUUGUUUAAAAUAGUGGUAAAAUUUUUUCUAAGCAAGUUAAUUUUUUUAUAAAGUAUUGGCAAAAGAGUUUUACCAUUUACCUCAGUCCAAGGUGUAUUUAAAACAUUUAUUUAUAUGAUGACUGAUGUACCACUAAAUAUUCAUCAGACUUACACAGGGGUCCUUAUUAAUAAAAUCUUAUAUUGUUAUCAAUUUUUUUCAUGUGAUGAUUGUAGAAUAAUUGUUUUGUAAGCGAUACCAGCUGGCAGAUCUAGACAAGUUUCCAUAUUUGCUAAUAUUUUAAAGUGGGGAAGGUAAAAUGGCUGUAAAGAUUGGAUGCAUUUAUCAUUUUGCACCCCAAAUAGCGUACUAAGAAGUGACACCUUUAACUGCCUUUUUAAACACAUUAACAGUAGUCAUACCAAUGCAUUGUGCUGUACACAUGUUAUAACAUUUAGUGUAAGUUUUUUAAAAUCUUGAAAAAAAUGUUGAAAAUUGUUGAAUACUGUAGACUAUUGUGAAGUUUUCUACAAUUUUUAGUAGCCCUGAUUUAUCUUUAACAAAUUUUCCAUGGUGAUUACCCUGCUGUUUGAAUUUAGGUUAAAAUAUUCCUGGGAGUAACCAGAGUGGGUCAUAUUGUUUUUAUUGAAUUUCUAAGAAAGAUCAAGACUUGUUGAAAAUGUACCAACCUGAAAAUGAAUAAGUGUUAAUAGAUGCAUUAAUAGCUAAAAUAAAUUUAAAGUAUAAUUUCCCCUUCCAUUUAUUAUUGGCUAAAAACAGCUUAACUGAUUGAAUAUUGGUUGUCCCGGGAUAUAUAUCUAUUUAAAGUCUAGCCAUUUCAUUUUGGGUCAUCUUUUUACAAUUUGAAUAAUUAUUCUGGAAAAACGAAGUGCGCAAAUGAUCUAAAGGUUUGUACAAAGAUUAGUGUUCUAAACAUUCAUCAAAUGGUACAUUUAUCUGGAAAAAAUAUUUCAGUCCCAUCAUGACAAAAUACCUCAAUGGAACCACUUUAAAUUGAAUUACACUUUUUUUAAAUGUAUGGGUAAAUUCCAUUUUCAGUGGUUGAAAUUUUUCCUCUUUUCUGAUUAAUCAAGCUAUAGUUUCCCAUUUAUAAAGCCACAGGUUGUUUUGAAAGUUGAAAAAAAAAUCACUGCCACCUUGAUAAUUGUUAACCUGAAAAAUCUUCAGGCACUUAAAGGGAUUUGAACCCCAGACCUCUUGAUUACAAGGCAGACACACAACCAUGUCGCGAAAAUGUCAACACAACAGCAAGACUGUUGGAAAUGAUCUAUACCUGUUCUCAAUACAUGGUUGAAGUAAUUUAUCAGUGUUAAUUAGACAUUUUAUAUGAUUUAACAAUUUUUGACACUACUGAUAUUCACAUUUUUUUCACAAAUCUACAUGUAAAAAAUAGAUAUCAUAAUAAAAUGAUAGAACAUUUUCUAUUUUAGUGGUAAUACUGUGGAGUAAUAUGAAGAAAUAUUAUUAAUAUUUUAUUAUCAUAAAUUUUUCAAAUUUUAAUUAUGUCAUUACAUGCUGUACACAAUCAUAUUAUAGUGUAAACAUAUAUAUACAUUGUAUAGACACAUAUAUACAUUGUAUAUACCAGAGACGUUAAAAUACAUAAAAUGUAUUUAUAUGUCUCUGUAUAAUAUACACACACUAAGAGAGUAGUAUUGGAUGAUUUUGAAAAUGAAAUCUCUAAAUUGAUAUUUUCAGGGAAAUAAAAGAUUAUUUACUUUAAUAUUCACUUGGAAAGGCUGGUACAUGUAGCUAGAAAAAAGUACAGUAUAAGAUUAAAGAAAGACUAGAAGAUUAUUACAAACAACAGGUGGACAUGUGUCACUGUCAAGCAAAUGAAGAUAAGCAUCACACUCGGUGGGAAUCCCCAGUUUCCAGAUGUAGUGAUCAUAACUGUAUAGGCACCAUUAACACUUUGGACUUGUUGGAGUAUUUUAGAGGGCUAGUCUGAAUUGAAUCCCCUGUCAAUAGUAAAGGCCAGUCAUGAACAUUGUGUUGAAGGAAAAUGUUAAAACUCGGAUUUUCCGCUUAACCAAUCAUUACUUUACCUUAUAUUCAGUGCGGUAAUGUAGGAAAUGGUUACUUUCUGGAACGGAGCUGUCAAUUAUUUUUAAUUUUUUAGCUUGUUAGUGUUAUCGUCGGACAGUUGUGAAGUAAAGACAUCGCAGUUUGACUGUAUACAAGUUGCCUUAAAGAAAGUAUGUCAAAAUCUUAACAGUUAUUCGUUGAUUUUGUAGAAAUUGACCAGAAUUCACCUUUGUUUACACGCAUCGCUUGGACGUCAAAAACAACAUGCAAUGACAUUUCAGUGAAAUUUGGAAACUUGCUCGUAUUUUGGAGCAUUUUGUAGGAUUUCGAUGAAGUAAAAAGUGUUUCUGAUACAUUAUUCCUAGAGACAACCACAAAGAUAAAAUAGUGAUCUGGUGUAUUUUUACCGAACAGUUCUUGUUUGUUUUGCAUGAUAUUUUUCUCUCGUUAGGGACCUUUAUUCUUUAUAUAUAGUAUUAUGAGCGUAUAUAUGGGUAAAUGUGGUAUAUAGUGCCUGUGGUUUUAACAUGUAUCUUAGCUUGCCUGGUGUAAUGAUAAGUAAUAAACCUGAGAAUUGAAACUAUGAGAAUAAA